CCAAGAACAACCAGCAAGAAUGUUCUCCCCAAGAACACAAGUCCGUACUUUGCAUUCUUGGUACUGAGAAACGCCCAUGGUUUGCAAUUCUGGCACAAACCUCUUGUGAGGGCCGGUCUUGCAGGGAUGAGUCCCAAAUUGGCCAAUUAGUUUUUGGAGUAUGUUUGAGUGACAGCUCAGUGCCUGCCUGCUAACGAUAGAGACUUUGGAGGACACACAAACUACUCUACACAGCGGAUUCCUACAAGAUUAUUAAAGUAGGAGUAUUGAUUAUAUAUUGUAUGUGAUCUACGUUGCAAGCAUGGUUACUAGAAGUUUGUUUUGUUUCUAGCUAAAGCUAUGCAAGUAAGCAUUUAACUCUAAAACAAAUGCUAGCCACGCCAAGUAACAUUGGCUUACUGUAGCUACGUUACGGAGUUAAUUUGCCAUGGGAAUCAGGUAGGCUUAGUGACGCCUUACUCAAGGUCGCUGUAUUAAUAAUCAUUCUCUUUCUGUAGAGAAACCUUGUGGGAUCUGCAAGAACCGAGCAGAGCUACAAUGUUGUCCCAGGUAGGUCUGUAACAACGCUACAGAAAUUGUUGUGCUUGAUAUUGGUCUGAUAAUACACAAUGCUAGGGUAUUUGUUAAGUUGUACAAUGUGGAAUCUGUGAAUAUAAUGUAUUCUAUCUAGAGGUUGACACAAUCAUAAUGUUCCAUCUGUACACAGUUUCUUCUUUUAUUGUAUUGCUGCAAGAUGGCAGACAGACAUUUUUGUCUAUUGUAACGCUUUAAAUUUCACCAAUAUUUAGAAUGAAUGCAUAUUGUAACUACUGUCCAAACUAUGUAGCGUAACUAACACGCCAGGCCCUUGACAAAUACUUUGCUUAGUGAUCAUUAGUGUUUGAUGUGAUGUGCAUGGCUGAUGAAGCAUGGGUCCGGUUGGCUGCCCUGGACUACCUUGGCAGAUUACCCAAAGGAAAAGCAGAUGGAUCAUUUGAGUUACUUCAAGAUUUACAAUAAGAAGUCAAGGAUGUGAAGGACUACAGCCAUAUCCCAGCCCUUCAAAGAAGCUGUCCUGCAGAAAAGGCUGUUUGGACUGGAGCCGUGAGCCAUCAGUGAGCUCAGGAAACCAGAUGAUCCCAGGCGUCUAGGAGUUGUGUGCCAUAUUCCUACACUACUCUCUAAAGUGCCGUUGCAGACACAAGCCAGCAAAGAAAUACAGUUUUCCUUAGGUGAAACUGAAUAUGUGAAAUAUAUACACAUAACAAUUACUUAGUAUGUUUGUGUAUGGUUGGUGAUGAAAAAAAACUGAUCUGAUGAUGUACUGCAAAUAACAAUGCAUUAUAACAGU